GACGAACGCUGGCGGCGUGCCUAAUACAUGCAAGUUGAGCGCUGAAGGUUGGUACUUGUACCAACUGGAUGAGCAGCGAACGGGUGAGUAACGCGUGGGGAAUCUGCCUUUGAGCGGGGGACAACAUUUGGAAACGAAUGCUAAUACCGCAUAAAAACUUUAAACACAAGUUUUAAGUUUGAAAGAUGCAAUUGCAUCACUCAAAGAUGAUCCCGCGUUGUAUUAGCUAGUUGGUGAGGUAAAGGCUCACCAAGGCGAUGAUACAUAGCCGACCUGAGAGGGUGAUCGGCAACAUUGGGACUGAGACACGGCCCAAACUCAUACGGGAGGCAGCAGUAGGGAAUCUUCGGCAAUGGACGAAAGUCUGACCGAGCAACGCCGCGGGAGUGAAGAAGGUUUUCGGAUCGUAAAACUCUGUUGGUAGAGAAGAACGUUGGUGAGAGUGGAAAGCUCAUCAAGUGACGGUAACUACCCAGAAAGGGACGGCUAACUACGUG
rnacentral:rRNA from 1 species